rnacentral:rRNA from 1 species
AAAUGAAUAGACGGGGGCCCGCACAAGCGGUGGAGCAUGUGGUUUAAUUCGAUGCAACGCGAAGAACCUUACCUACUCUUGACAUCCAGAGAAGCCUGCGGAGACGCGGGUGUGCCUUCGGGAGCUCUGAGACAGGUGCUGCAUGGCUGUCGUCAGCUCGUGUUGUGAAAUGUUGGGUUAAGUCCCGCAACGAGCGCAACCCUUAUCCUUACUUGCCAGCACGUAAUGGUGGGAACUGUAGGGAGACUGCCGGUGAUAAACCGGAGGAAGGUGGGGACGACGUCAAGUCAUCAUGGCCCUUACGAGUAGGGCUACACACGUGCUACAAUGGCGCAUACAGAGGGUUGCGAGCUAGUGAUAGUAAGCGAAUCUCACAAAGUGCGUCGUAGUCCGGAUUGGAGUCUGCAACUCGACUCCAUGAAGUCGGAAUCGCUAGUAAUCGUGGAUCAGAAUGCCACGGUGAAUACGUUCCCGGGCCUUGUACACACCGCCCGU